UUCGCACCGGGGCCCCAUGGGUCAUGUGUACUCACUGCACACAUACAUACAAAGACACAUACACACACAUACAGACACACACAAGACAUACAUACAAAGACACACACACACACACACACACAAGACUUACAUACAAAGACACACACACACAAACACACACAUUAUAUUUAAGUCACCCUCCUGUUUCCUACCUUUAAGGUGCAGGAGGGUGACAUUCCCUGGGGCCCACUGGUGGCUCAGGUGGAUGGGAGUCAGAGUUCCCACUCUGACUCCCUGGUCUUCCUCCUGCACGGCUCUCAGUGUUAGCUGGGAGGAGUAUCGUGCAGUCACUUUCUC